GCGAGAGGGAGGGAGGGGGAGAAAGAGAGAGAGAGAGGGAGAGAGAGAGAGAGAGGGAGAGAGAGAGAGAGAGGGAGAGAGGAGGCGGCGAGAGAAGAGCAAGUGCGGAGCCGCGGGGCUGCUCCGGAGCCGGCAGAGCCUCCUCGGACAGCAUACCCCGGCCCUGGCCCCAGUUGCUCGCGUGGUCAGAGGAAACGCGGCGGCGGCCGCCGGAGCUCGGUCCCGCGCGCCCCUCGCCGCCGGCUUACCGGUGCCCACGCAGCCCCGGGACGCCGCUACCCUCUCGGCGGCCGGGAUGCAGCCGGGGCAUGGCCGCCGGGCCCCUGUCACCUGCCACGGGGAGCGCUGAGCCCAUUGGAAACCUGUCUCUGAGGCCCUGAAGCUUUUCCUAGUCUUCCCUGGCAACUCUCCAUCCCAAGGAAGUUCCAGAAAGAACCCCAGGGGGGCCUCCCUCCUACGGCAAAGCAGACCUCCCCUUCCACUUCCAGUGCAGCGCUAAGUCAGAACUGCCCAAGGAAGAUUCUGCCCACGUUUAUCUCAAACUGGUCUGCAGGCCCUCAGGCUGGGACCCGUCCCAGGAGCUGCCCAUCUGCAAAGAGAGCCCACAGUGCCUCGGGAAAAAUUGGCUGAAUAAAAGGUAUGAAGAUUUUCUCUCUUUCUUCCUGAAUAGCGUUUGACAGACAUGCGCGUGUGGAACAUCCUGGGAGCUGCUGACAGUGGAUGCCAGGGGUUCGGGGUUUCCUAGACACUGGAGGGAGGGGAGUUUGGGAGCAGGGUGUGUGGCCUGUUUAGCUCUUGUCCCCCAAUGGGCCGGCCCAAAAUGUGCUGGGAAGGCAGGACUGGAGGGCCGGCGGGGCGGGAGAGAAAUGAGGAACAGGAGUUUGUGUAAACGCCGCGCUGCUAGGCUGUGGCCAGAGAAGCUGUGCCGACUCCGUCCUGGUGCCUUCCCUCCCCCUUCUCCACCCUGGGUACCGGUGCCCAGGGGUGUACCCCCAGGCUGCACGACCUUUGGAACCGAGGGCAGCUCUGCUCACUGGUCCAGGGUGGUCCAGCUCCCCUCUGUGGCCUGAUCUCCUUGGGAAGGGGGCUCCGUUCCCAGUGCUGACGCCCGCAGGGGGCCUGGACACAUCUGACCAGAGCCCUGGGUCGCUGUGUCCCUUCCACCUACUGCUGAUCUCUUUCGUAGAGUCCCCUGUAAGGUUAUACUUUGGGGGAAAGGUUAUUAUAAAAGUAAUGCAUAUUUGUUGUGAACGAAAUUAGAAAAUGCAGGUUGGCUAUGUAUUUGUAACCCCAGGGCCCUGACAGGCUUCUCCUCGUGGGCUCCUGGGUCUCAGGCCGCAGGUGCACAAGGACGGCAAAGCCCGUCCACAGAUCAGAAACGGAAUGAAGCUGUCGGAUGGGAGGGGGCUGACGCCUUCAUGAGCCAAACACUGGAAAUUUAGUUUGCUGGUCCCUUUGGUAUUGUUUUUGCUCCAAGCCCACCCUUGGUUCAGAAGUGGGCAUAAGCCAAGUGGAGCUCCACUUGGCCAGGGAGCUUUGUCCUGGAAGCCACUCAAUGCAGGCCACAGGGGCUGUGUGGGGAGACAGCAGGGACUCUGCUCACUGGCUUUCCAUCAGGAUCCUCUUCAUGGGGUCCUGGGCAACACAUGACAGAGUCCCCGGGGAGUGACGUCCUGUUUCUAUGGGUAUUCGAUGCGUUUCUCCAUGGGGGGUGGAGAGAAAGUGCAGUUGGCUUUGGUCUCACGCUCUUACCCAAGCGGUCUAACCACAGGGGUGGCGGCUUCACACGCAGCCUUCUUGCCAUGCCGUGGUCUCGUUUUCCGGGGGAAGUGUGCCAGUAAUCUGUCUGUGGGGCAGGGAACCCAUUUGUGCUCUAAGGAAUGAUGUGGGGAUUUGCUGGCUUGAAGUUUUUAAUCACUUUAUCCAAAAGGUAUAACGUUUGCACAAGAGCCAUGGAUACUUAGAGCGUGCCGUCUAGCACGUUGAUGUCAGUUUAUAUCCAUAACAUCACUGCUACAACCAAGAUACUGAACCUAUGCAUCACCCCCAAAAGCACCCUGGCGCCCCUUAAGUCUCUUCCUCCCCCCUUCCCAGUCCCCUCUUCCCAGACAAGCACUGACCUGCUUCUUGUCCCUGUAGAAUGGUUUGUUUUCCCGAGAAUUUUAUAUGAAUAGAGUCAAAGCCUCUGUCUUUUUUGUGGUUUAGCCUCUUUCACUCAGCGUCAUUCUGAUCCAUCCAGGUGGUGGUUUGCAUCCAGAGGUCAUCCUUUUCAUUGCUGAGUAGUAUUUCAUGCUAGGGAUGCACCAGAGUUUAUCCAUGAGGCCCUUGAAGAAGAUUGUGGUUAUUGGCAGUUUGGGGCUAUUACAAAUAAAGCUGCUGUGAGCAUCCGUAUGUGUCUUUAUAGAGGUACCUGUUUGCUUUUCGAUUGGGUAAAAUACCAGUAGGGAAAUGGCUCUCCUAUGGAACGUGCACGUUGAACUUUGUAAGCAGAUGCUCAACUGUCUUCCAAAGUGAUUGCGUCAUUUCACAUUCCCGCCAGCCUGUGUGGGGACCGCAGUCCGACAUCCUCAGCAACACUUGGCGUUGUCAGUUUUUAUCAUUUUAGCCAUUUUAACGGGUAUUCAAUGGUACUUGGUUGUGGUUUCCGUUGCAUGUCCCUGAUGGCAAAUGAUGUUGACCAUCGUUUGACGUCCCUGUGUCACCUUUGGUGAAGUAGCUGUUCAGAUCUUUGCCUUUACUUUCAUUGGGUGGCUUGUUUUCUUAUUGUUGACUUUUGGAAAUUCUUUAUAUAUAUUCUAUUAUUUUUGUUUUUAUUUUUUGCCUUUUUGCCUUUUCUAGGGCUGCUCCCGCGGCAUA